rnacentral:rRNA from 1 species
GAUGAACGCUAGCGGCAGGCCUAAUACAUGCAAGUCGAACGGGAUUAAGAGGCUUGCUUCUUAUGAGAGUGGCGCACGGGUGCGUAACACGUAUGCAACCUACCUUCAACAGGGGGAUAGCCUUCCGAAAGGGAGAUUAAUACCGCAUAACAUAAUUGAACGGCAUCGUUUGAUUAUCAAACUCACAAGGGUUGAAGAUGGGCAUGCGUCCGAUUAGUUAGUUGGUGAGGUAACGGCUCACCAAGGCAUCGAUCGGUAGGGGAUCUGAGAGGAUGACCCCCCACACUGGUACUGAGACACGGCCCAGACUCCUACGGGAGGCAGCAGUGGGGAAUAUUGGACAAUGGGCGGAAGCCUGAUCCAGCCAUGCCGCGUGUGUGAAGAAGGCCUUUUGGUUGUAAAGCACUUUAAGCGAGGAGGAGGCUCUUAAGGUUAAUACCCUUGAUGAGUGGACGUUACUCGCAGAAUAAGCACCGGCUAACUCUGUGCCAGCAGCCGCAGUAACAC